rnacentral:rRNA from 1 species
UACGUAGGGUGCAAGCGUUGUCCGGAAUUAUUGGGCGUAAAGGGCUCGUAGGCGGUUUGUCGCGUCGGGAGUGAAAACCUUGGGCUUAACUCAGGGCUUGCUUUCGAUACGGGCAGACUAGAGGUAUGCAGGGGGAGAACGGAAUUCCUGGUGUAGCGGUGAAAUGCGCAGAUAUCAGGAGGAACACCGGUGGCGAAGGCGGUUCUCUGGGCAUGAUCUGACGCUGAGGGGCGACAGCGUGGGGAGCAAACAGG